UACAGAGGUCCCAAGCGUUGUUCGGAUUCAUUGGGCGUAAAGGGUGCGUAGGCGGCGGGGCAAGUCAGGUGUGAAAUCCCGGAGCUCAACUCCGGAACUGCAUUUGAUACUGCCUUGCUCGAGUACUGGAGAGGAGACUGGAAUUUACGGUGUAGCAGUGAAAUGCGUAGAUAUCGGAAGGAACAUCAGUGGCGAAGGCGGCGAUCUGGACGGAUAUUGACGCUGAGGUGCGAAAGCGUGGGGAGCAAACAGG
rnacentral:rRNA from 1 species